GGUUAGUAACAACUAUCAAUCUUGUUAGCUUUUCCUUUAGGACUCUGUGCUUUGUUUAGUGAAGCUCUAUAUAGCACCCUCUUCAGGAAUAUUUGUUCAUUGCUUUAUUCCAAAAAUGUAGAUUCUCACCACGAAAAUGUAGAUUAAACUACCGAAUUAAGGAGGCCUUUUAGUGCUGAAUGCCUGCAAAAAUUUAAAAAAGAGCAUUGAGUCUGGCACCUUUCAGUAGACAUAGAUAAGGAUUUUCACUUUUAUAGAUAAGGUCUCUUCCCUUCGCCUCUUCCACUAUUCCGGGAGUUUUUGAUCAUUGCAACGCUGUUAAACUGUUUUGUUUCAGCUCAAAGAUUUUUCAAAAAUGGAUCAACGAAUAACGGUAUUAGAAAUAAUGGUAUUAAGUAGACCUUGCGGUCAUUGGAAAACGGUUGAUCUUCCAGGAAAUCUGUAACUGGUGUAUAGAGAGAACAGGAUUAUUUGUGAUGGCCCUGAAAUAUUCAGCUGCUGAUUGACAAGGAAAAAGUAAUGCAGCCGUAUAGUAUGGCCGCAUGCUUUAUACACUGAUGAAGAAAAUGACAACUUGUAAAACGUUUUCUUAAAUGUGCCAGCUCAUUAAUUCCUGUUGAUGGCUCAAGAACUGCGUACAAAUUCCUCUUGGCUGUCCACUUGAAUACAUCAUUCUUUUCUUUCACUAGAAACGACACCAACAACUGAGAUCACCACCAGCACUACAUCAGUAACAACACCAACAACAUCUUUGACAACUGGUACAACUGAGUCCACCUCCAGUUCCACAACAGUAGUAACACCAACAACUACAUCAACAACUGAGACCACUACCAGUACUAC